AGGCAUCUACCCCCGGCCGAGGCCACCCCCGCGCCCCCAGCCCGGCGGUUCCGACAGCGGUGGAGGUUACUUUGGGAACAGGGACCAGGAUGACGGCCGCUACCCGCCCAGGCCCAGGCCGCCCGCAGCUGGCGGUGGUGGCUACUAUCCCAACAAUGACGGCCACGGAAACGCCUAUGGAGGAGGGCGUUCUAGACCCAACUCUUACGGAAAUAAUUAUGG